rnacentral:rRNA from 1 species
GAUGAACGCUAGCGACAGGCCUAACACAUGCAAGUCGAGGGGCAGCACAAUGGUAGCAAUACUAUGGUGGCGACCGGCGCACGGGUGAGUAACACGUAUGCAAUCUACCUGUAAAUGGGGGAUAACCCGGAGAAAUGCGGACUAACACCGCAUGAUAUUAUUAUAUCGCAUGAUAUAAUACUUAAAUAUUUAUAGUUUACAGAUGAGCAUGCAAAUGGUUAGAUAGUUGGUAGGGUAACGGCCUACCAAAUCCACGAGCAUUAGGGGUUCUGAGAGGAAGGUCCCCCACACUGGUACUGAGACACGGACCAGACUCCUACGGGAGGCAGCAGUGAGGAAUAUUGGUCAAUGGGCGAGAGCCUGAACCAGCCAAGUCGCGUGAAGGAAGAAGGUUCUAUGGAUUGUAAACUUCUUUUGUGAGGGAAUAAGGUUAGGCACGUGUGCCUAUUUGUAUGUACCUUACGAAUAAGGAUCGGCUAACUCCGUGCCAGCCGCCGCCGUAAGAC